GCCCGACUAGCUCACCGGUAGAGCGCCUCACUAGUACAUCUUCUUGGACAAUACGAGGAUACGGGAAGGACUGUACUGAAAUGAGGAGGCAACAGGUUCGACUCCUGUGUUGGGCA